CCCGGCUCCCGGCUCCCCGCUCCCGGAAAGACCUUCUGUUACUUGCGGGCUUCCAAGGCCCCGGGCACCCAGGGCUCCCGCCUUCCCGAGCCGGCUGUGCAGAGGGGCGCAUCUACUUGUUUAAACUUCCCGGGAAACAGUGCAAAAAGGAUCCCAGAAACGCUUUUGGUUGGUCAGCCAUGAAUUAGCAUCGCAGACGCCUCUUCCAGCUGCCGAGCUCGAGGGUGAGCUGCCGGGUUUUGGCCUAGAGAAAGAAAAGAGGCUCUCAGCAGAAAGUAAAUCCGCACACUGCGCUCGUGGGCAAAAUACCUCGUAUCCCUGGCUGAGCAAAAAACGUGGCGGAAGGACCCUCCAGUGAGCAAGAUCGUGUAUUUUGUUUCUCUGUGGAUACAGCUCCUGGGAUCAUAAAGUCGUCAAGUCCAUUACAGGUGAAAUGCGUUUCCGCUCUGAAUCCCCGCUGACGCCUGCGCCCCCUCCACGCCGCCUGACCCGCGACAGGCCCAGCAGCGAUACCGAGCCAUUAGGCGAGCUCCUUCCCGAGCCAUUUAACAGCAGCUCUUAUGGAUAAAUAAACAAAAAAGGCUGUAAACCAAUUAUAGUGUGGACAGUGAAAAAGUCGUUUAUUAGCAGGACGUCCUGAUAGUCCUCGCUGUUAUUGGAGGUCCUCGCCUGCCCUCUUCCCCUUUCUCUUGCAGAAACGCGGU